GAGAGUUAAACAGUACGUGAAAUUGUUGAAAGGGAAACGAUUGAAGUCAGUCAUACCAACGGGAAAUCAACCUUUUGAGCUCGGUCUCGUGGGUUUUGAAGAGUUUCAAAGCCUUCGGAUUCGCGGGAUUGGGAUCUCUUGGUGUACUUUUUCGUACGGUUAGUCAACAUCGGUUUUGAAUGUCAUAAAAUGACUGGAGGAAUGUAGCUUCGAUCUCGUAUUGAAGUGUUAUAGCCUUUGGUAGAUGUGAUGUUCGAGACCGAGGAUUGCAACGGAUACCCUUCUGGGCUAUUCGUCUGAUCUCUGAAACGUUGCCUUGAUGUCGAAAGCUUGCUUACGGUUAUCAAAGUCGAUGGUCAAUAGGUUAGAACGGGUUAAAUUCGUUAAGGAUGUUGACGUAAUGGCUUUAAACGA
rnacentral:rRNA from 1 species